rnacentral:ncRNA from 1 species
AACUAAAAAGCGUAGCUAUCCACUACGCUAGUUCUUGCCUGCUGAACUCAUAUUGUAAAUGACCUGUAAAGGUCUUUUU